GUUUCUGGUUGCGGGACAUCACCGUGUUGUUGUGUUUUGUCGAGUGAAAACUGCGGUUCUGGUCCUGCUGGGCUCCAAGUCUGAGCUUCUGCUGCAGCCACAGCAUCUUCUCCAUCCGCAUCCUGAGAGUGGAGGACGGCGAGCCGCCACCAGUCCACGCCGUCAGCGCGUUGUGUCUGUGCCACCUGGCAGGCUCUGAGCGCAGCUCCAGGACCCAGAACAAAGGAGAGGACCUGAAGGAGGCUGGAAACAUCAACGCCUCGCUGCUCAUUCUGGGCAAAUGCAUCAAGGCUCUGCAGCACAACCAGCACACCAGGUGGAGGUUGUGAUCUCCAGGCUCCUCCCCGUCGUUCCUCCUGCUUCCUGCAGCAGGAAGACGCUGCAGAGCAGCAGCAGCUCCCUGACCGGCUGGGAAGCCAGUCUGGAAGACCUUCAGGGUGAAGACCAAGACUCCAGUCUGAUGGAGGACAGCAUGGAGGAGACGGCUGACAAGGUGAAGAAGUCGUCAUUAAUAAGAGGCUUCACCAGGUCAGUGGUUUUAGCUGCUCCACAUUUCUCCUGACAUGAAUCCACCUGCUGGGUUUCCUGCUGGAGGCGGCGCCACGUUUACCUUCAUUCUGACGUCAGAACCGCAGCUUCGUCCCUCCUCCUCUUCAUCAGCUGCUGCUGCAGAUUUCUGCAGGAAACCAAGCAGCUUGUGGUCGGCUCUGCAUGUCCAGGUCCCAGCCUCUGAUAUCUUAUUUACUUAGUUAUAUGAUGAUAAUAAUAAUA